rnacentral:misc_RNA from 1 species
AUGUGUUCCAUGAAUCAUUCUCUGAA